UACGGAGGGGGCUAGCGUUGUUCGGAAUUACUGGGCGUAAAGCGCACGUAGGCGGCUUUGUAAGUUAGAGGUGAAAGCCCGGGGCUCAACUCCGGAAUUGCCUUUAAGACUGCAUCGCUAGAAUUGUGGAGAGGUAAGUGGAAUUCCGAGUGUAGAGGUGAAAUUCGUAGAUAUCGGGAGGAACACCGGUGGCGAAGGCGGCGACCUGGUUCGAUACUGACACUGAGGUGCGAAAGCGUGGGGAGCAAACAGG
rnacentral:rRNA from 1 species